rnacentral:rRNA from 1 species
AUUGAACGCUGGCGGCAUGCUUUAUACAUGCAAGUCGAACGGUAACAGGCCGCAAGGUGCUGACGAGUGGCGAACGGGUGAGUAAUGCAUCGGAACGUGCCCAGUCGUGGGGGAUAACUACUCGAAAGAGUAGCUAAUACCGCAUACGAUCUAUGGAUGAAAGCGGGGGACCGUAAGGCCUCGCGCGAUUGGAGCGGCCGAUGUCAGAUUAGGUAGUUGGUGGGGUAAAGGCUCACCAAGCCAACGAUCUGUAGCUGGUCUGAGAGGACGACCAGCCACACUGGGACUGAGACACGGCCCAGACUCCUACGGGAGGCAGCAGUGGGGAAUUUUGGACAAUGGGCGCAAGCCUGAUCCAGCAAUGCCGCGUGCAGGAAGAAGGCCUUCGGGUUGUAAACUGCUUUUGUACGGAACGAAACGGCUCUGGUUAAUACCCGGGGCUAAUGACGGUACCGUAAGAAUAAGCGCCGGCUAACUACGUG